AUAAUAAUAAAUAGCAAGAAAUCUAAGUUAAUUUGCAAAUAAAACUGAUCAUUGAUUCUAAUAAAGACAAAAUGGAUGGAUAAGUAUUGCGACCAACAACUUCAAUGAAAAGCCAUAAGACCUAAAAAAAGUUAUCCCUUUCUAGAUGAUUUUAAGUGCAUUAAAGAGAGUGCUAAAAAAUUAAAGCGAUAAGGAAAUGGUAAAACGAAAAGGGGUGUAAAAAUCAACGU